rnacentral:lncRNA from 1 species
CAGAGAAAAUUAACAGAGCCUAAGGGAUGUAGUAAAAGAUAAAAAAUGUGGUGAAUAGAAAGAUAGAUGAAAAGGAACAAAAAGUGGUACUAUAGAGAAAGAAUGUAGAUGUGAGAGACUACAAAGCCAGAAGAAGGUAAAAAAACAACAACAUGACAACUUGAGAAAGGGCUAUACAGAUGAGUCCCAAUUUACUGAUGGGAAGGAUUCCUUUGGUCAUACCUCUGAGGUUCCCCAUACCUGCACUGAGCAUAGCAUGGAUGAACCCCAUAUUGGAUGUGUUGCAGAGGCUGGACAGGACAAAAUGGCAAAGGGAGAUGAAUUUUCUCUCUGAAUCUCAAGAUUACUCAAGCUAUCAACUAUAAGGAUAGCCUGAAGAUACUGACAAGAAAGAAGCCUUCCAGAUGUCAAUUAUUCUCUUUUUUCCAAAACUCAAUUCCCUAUAGUGCUCUUCCAACAGAAAAUACUUCAUAAAUGUUUGUUGAAUGAUCCCUAUGCCUGUAAUUAAAUUCUUUAAAAAAUGAAGAAUGAUAAAAUGUUUUCUUAAGGUCGGACCCAUGUUUUGUUGUAAGUGCGAUACUUUAAAGACCAUAGAU